AAUAGUACAUUACUAUAGAGGCCGGGAAACGAAGGGUUGCGUAGCGAGACUAGCGAGGUUGGAUAGGGAUACGCGGCCGGCAACCCCGUUUCUCGCCGAGAUUUGUAUAGUGCUUUUCUAAAAGUUGGAAUGAAAUA